rnacentral:rRNA from 1 species
CCUACGGGAGGCAGCAGUGGGGGAUAUUGCACAAUGGGGGAAACCCUGAUGCAGCGACGCCGCGUGGGUGAAGAAGCGCCUCGGCGCGUAAAGCCCUGUCAGCAGGGAAGAAAAUGACGGUACCUGAAGAAGACGCCACGGCUAACUACGUGCCAGCCGCCGCGGUAAUACGUAGGGGGCAAGCGUUAUCCGGAUUUACUGGGUGUAAAGGGGGCGCAGACGGCGAUGCAAGCCAGGAGUGAAAGCCCGGGGCCCAACCCCGGGACUGCUCUUGGAACUGCGGGGCUAGAGUGCAGGAGGGGCAGGCGGAAUUCCUGGUGUAGCGGUGAAAUGCGUAGAUAUCAGGAGGAACACCGGUGGCGAAGGCGGCCUGCUGGACUGCAACUGACGUUGAGGCCCGAAAGCGUGGGGAGCAAACAGGAUAAGAUACCCCGGUAGUC